rnacentral:lncRNA from 1 species
CAAAGUGCUGGGAUUACAGGCGUGAGCCACUGCACCCGGCUACCUUUACCAAGUUUUUAAGAUAUAUUUUUUUUUAUCCUGCACUAUCUCUACAUGUACCACCCACUUCCUGCCUGCAAGGUUAAUGACUAGUGUGCUUUAAAGAAACCUUAUCAAAAGAAUGCUGUGAUGCUUAUUGCACUUUUUAAAGAUUUUAUUAUCGUAUUUAUUUUGGUUUUUAUUUAGAGGCUGGGUCUUGCUCUGUGGCUCAGGCUGGAGUGCAGCAGUGUGAUCCUAGCUGACUGCAGCUUCCAACUCCUGGGCUUAAGGCAAUUCUCCUGCUCAGCCUCCGGAGUAGCUGGGACUACAGGCCCACGCCACUACACCCAGCUAUUUUUAUUUUUUUGUAGAGACAGGAUCUAACUAUGUUUCCCAGUCUGGUCUCCAACUCUUGGGCUCAAGCAGUGCUCCAGCCUUGGCCACCCAAAGUGCUGGGAUUAUAGGCAUGAGCCACAUGCCCGGCCCAUGUUGUUAUUUUAAACUCAAACAGAAAAGAAGAAUUCAAGCAUGAGAUCCCAGAACAAGAGCAUUAAAGGGAAGAAAUGAAGUUGUGAAGACAACCAAAUAUCCAGGUAAAGGCAACUGACCAGACUUGAAUACUUAUCCCAAGAAACCAGAAACUGUUUACAUGCUGAUUUCCCAUUGCUUACGAAAUCCAAGAAUCAUAGACCAUUGAGAACUGCUCUGUGCCACGCACAGUGUAAGGCUCAGUAAGUCACAGACCCCUUUCUCAAAAAAGGUAGAUGUAAACACACUCCUCUGUGUCUCCUCUAUCAUGGCGCUUAUUAGGUGAUGUUGUCAGGUACAUGCUGGCAACAUUAAGGAGGUAGGAGAUGGCAUCUUGGAAAGCUUUGGGAAUGAAAUGUGAAUUAAAUCUCAGAUGUUGAGUCAGAGCUGGCCAGAUAAUUAGGAAAAGCAUCUGGACAGGCACAGAGGUACGAAGAGUGUCCCUCUUGGCAGAAUGAAGCAACAGGCUGCCUUUUGGCGAGACUCCACUUUGACGAAGGAACUUCGAUGUGUACACAGUCGCUGGGAUCAAGUCACACGACUAUUAAUUAAAAGGAAGAUAUUCGUCAUACAAAUCUAAACUCAUUUCAUCAACUGGACAUGAAACUGAAACUUCACAACCUGCUAAAAAUGAGUUUCUUAAUACCUCUGGACCUACCUGUCUAGGAAUCAGAUGUAACCUGAGACCAGAGACUCAUUUUCUUCUAAAAUGCUUUCUGCAAAAGAUUUUUAAACAAAGAAGGGGGAAAUGUGAAAGGAAAAUA